UACAGAGGUCCCAAGCGUUGUUCGGAUUCACUGGGCGUAAAGGGUGCGUAGGCGGUUUGAUAAGUCUGAUGUGAAAUCCCGCAGCUUAACUGCGGAACUGCAUUGGAAACUGUUUGACUAGAGGAAUGGAGGGGAGACUGGAAUACUUGGUGUAGCAGUGAAAUGCGUAGAUAUCAAGUGGAACACCAGUGGCGAAGGCGAGUCCCUGGACAUUUCCUGACGCUGAGGCACGAAGCCAGGGAGCAAACGGG
rnacentral:rRNA from 1 species